rnacentral:rRNA from 1 species
UACGGAGGGGGUUAGCGUUGUUCGGAAUUACUGGGAGUAAAGCGCGCGUAGGCGGACCAGAAAGUUGGGGGUGAAAUCCCGGGGCUCAACCCCGGAACGGCCUCCAAAACUCCUGGUCUUGAGUUCGAGAGAGGUGAGUGGAAUUCCGAGUGUAGAGGUGAAAUUCGUAGAUAUUCGGAGGAACACCAGUGGCGAAGGCGGCUCACUGGCUCGAUACUGACGCUGAGGUGCGAAAGUGUGGGGAGCAAACAGG